UUGGCCCUUCAUGGAACCAGUGAAGCGAACAGAAGCUCCGGGAUAUUAUGAAGUUAUAAGGUUCCCCAUGGAUCUGAAAACCAUGAGUGAACGCCUCAGGAACAGGUACUAUGUGUCUAAGAAGUUAUUCAUGGCGGACUUACAGCGAGUGUUCACCAACCGGAAGGAGUACAACCCCCCCGAGAGCGAGUACUACAAGUGCGCCAGCGUCCUGGAGAAGUUCUUCUUCAGUAAAACUAAGGAAGCAGGCUUGAUGGACAAGCGAUUUUUUUUCCCCUUAGAUACACAACAGCAGUGUGCCUAAAGCAGGUCAUUUAGGUUUUUGUUUGCUUUUGUUUUUUUUUUUUAAUUGUACAUCAUGUGUAUUACAAGAGACUUGUAAUAAUUAGCACUUUUGAAAAACAAACAAAACC
rnacentral:lncRNA from 1 species